GGAUUGCCUUAGUAACGGCGAGUGAAGCGGCAGCAGCUCAAAUUUGAAAUCUGGCUCCUUCGGGGCCCGAGUUGUAAUUUGUAGAGGAUGCUUCGGCGUGGUCCCAGGUCUAAGUUCCUUGGAACAGGACGUCACAGAGGGUGAGAAUCCCGUACGUGGCCGUGGGUACCCGCCAUGUGAAGCUCCUUCGACGAGUCGAGUUGUUUGGGAAUGCAGCUCUAAAUGGGAGGUAAAUUUCUUCUAAAGCUAAAUACUGGCCAGAGACCGAUAGCGCACAAGUAGAGUGAUCGAAAGAUGAAAAGCACUUUGGAAAGAGAGUCAAAAAGUACGUGAAAUUGUUGAAAGGGAAGCGCUUGCAACCAGACCUGCCUGCGGUUGCUCAUCCGGGCUCUUGCCCGGUGCACUCUUCCGCAGUCAGGCCAGCAUCAGUUCUGGCGGUCGGAUAAAGGCGGCGGGAAUGUGGCUCCCCUCGGGGAGUGUUAUAGCCCGUCGUGUAAUGCGGCCAGCCGGGACUGAGGUCCGCGCUUCGGCUAGGAUGCUGGCGUAAUGGUUGUAAGCGGCCCGUCUUGAAACACGGACCAAGGAGUCUAACAUCUGUGCGAGUGUUUGGGUGUCAAGCCCAGGCGCGUAAUGAAAGUGAACGGAGGCGGGAACCUUCGGGUGCACCGUCGACCGAUCCUGAUGUCUUCGGAUGGAUUUGAGUAAGAGCAUAGCUGUUGGGACCCGAAAGAUGGUGAACUAUGCCUGAAUAGGGUGAAGCCAGAGGAAACUCUGGUGGAGGCUCGCAGCGGUUCUGACGUGCAAAUCGAUCGUCAAAUUUGGGCAUAGGGGCGAAAGACUAAUCGAACUAUCUAGUAGCUGGUUCCUGCCGAGACUCCCCCGCAGAAAUAAAA
rnacentral:rRNA from 1 species